GAUGAACGCUGGCGGCGUGCUUAACACAUGCAAGUCGAACGGAAAGGCUCCUGCUUGCAGGGGUACUCGAGUGGCGAACGGGUGAGUAACACGUGGGUGAUCUGCCCUGCACUUCGGGAUAAGCCUGGGAAACUGGGUCUGAUACCGGAUAGGACGAUGGUUUGGAUGCCAUUGUGGAAAGUUUUUCGGUGUGGGAUGAGCUCGCGGCCUAUCAGCUUGUUGGUGGGGUAAUGGCCUACCAAGGCGUCGACGGGUAGCCGGCCUGAGAGGGUGUACGGCCACAUUGGGACUGAGAUACGGCCCAGACUCCUACGGGAGGCAGCAGUGGGGAAUAUUGCACAAUGGGCGCAAGCCUGAUGCAGCGACGCCGCGUGGGGGAUGACGGCCUUCGGGUUGUAAACUCCUUUCGCUAGGGACGAAGCGCAAGUGACGGUACCUGGAGAAGAAGCACCGGCUAACUACGUG
rnacentral:rRNA from 1 species